rnacentral:piRNA from 1 species
UAGGAUCAGUACUUUUCCUAAGUGGCUGCA